AUCAUGUUCCAAAGCAUUAUGUGUGUAUUCAAUCAAAGAAGUUAGGUUGUUUUCCAGAAUUGGCUCUCUCCUAAAGGUCAAAAC
ensembl:misc_RNA